GAUAACCUGUCUUCAUGUCUGGAAUAAUACGCCAAAGGGGUACUAAUACCGGAUAUUCUUGCUUUUCAUAAGUUAUGCAAGCAAAGGUGGCCUCUGCAUAUGCUACUGCAUGAAGAGGGGUCUGCGUACCAUUAGCUAGUAGGUGGGGUAAUGGCCUACCUAGGCGACGAUGGUUAGCGGGUCUGAGAGGAUGAUCCGCCACACUGGCACUGGAACACGGGCCAGACUCCUACGGGAGGCAGCAGUGAGGAAUAUUGCGCAAUGGGGGAAACCCUGACGCAGCGACGCCGCGUGAAGUGAGGAAGGCCUUCGGGUCGUAAAGCUCUGUCAAGAGGAAAGAAGUGUACAAUGGCUAAUACCUGUUGUAUUUGACGGUACCUCUAAAGGAAGCACCGGCUAACUCCGUGCCAGCAGCCGC
rnacentral:rRNA from 1 species